GUAGGUGAACCUGCGGAAGGAUCAUUACCUUUCAAUGCAGAAGAGUUGGGAUGGUUGAGUAUCUCGCCUCUCAAUUCUCGCUGUAUUUUACCCUUGUUUUUCUCAUACUAUUAUUUCCUCGGCAGGCUCGCCUGCCGGGUGAAACAACUUCAAACCUGUUUAAUUUUCAAUCAGCGUCUGAACAAAUUAAUAAUUACAACUUUCAACAACGGAUCUCUUGGUUCUG
rnacentral:misc_RNA from 1 species